ACGGGUGAGUAACGCGUGGGAAUCUACCCAUCCCUACGGAAUAACGCAUGGAAACGUGUGCUUAUACCGUAUACGCCCUACGGGGGAAAGAUUUAUCGGGGAUGGAUGAGCCCGCGUUGGAUUAGCUAGUUGGUGGGGUAAAGGCCUACCAAGGCGACGAUCCAUAGCUGGUCUGAGAGGAUGAUCAGCCACAUUGGGACUGAGACACGGCCCAAACUCCUACGGGAGGCAGCAGUGGGGAAUAUUGGACAAUGGGCGCAAGCCUGAUCCAGCCAUGCCGCGUGAGUGAUGAAGGCCUUAGGGUUGUAAAGCUCUUUCACCGGAGAAGAUAAUGACGGUAUCCGGAGAAGAAGCCCCGGCUAACUUCGUGCCAGCAGCCGCGGUAAUACGAAGGGGGCUAGCGUUGUUCGGAAUUACUGGGCGUAAAGCGCACGUAGGCGGAUCGAUCAGUCAGGGGUGAAAUCCCAGAGCUCAACUCUGGAACUGCCUUUGAUACUGUCGAUCUGGAGUAUGGAAGAGGUGAGUGGAAUUCCGAGU
rnacentral:rRNA from 1 species